ACUGUGUUUGCCCAGGUCCAAGCAGAGCUGCAUCUCUGAGAUGGGAAGCGCUUUCCUAAAAGUCGGACAAGUCAUCAAAUGAAAGAAGAAAAUGGUCAACAUAAUGGCUGCAGAGAGGAACAAAACUGCUGUGACGUUAACUACUUGUGGAAAAAGGAAAUCAUGCUGUAGCAGUUUGUUUUCAGCUGCCAGGCAAGACAGACAUUCUGGGACCUCAGUUUGUUUCUGCUGAGGAUGGGACCAGCAAGCAAUUCCCUCAGGAAAUGAGAAUCUCAGUUGUAGAGCUCUCCCCUAGACUGUUAU